AUGAUGGAGCUACCAGGGAGGCAUUAUUGGGUCUUUAGUGACAACUUGAGGGACGGACGCUUCGAAGUUCUUGAUUCAAGCAGGACGCUGGACACCAUUGAGCUGAUGAACACCGCCUCUACCGUCGCGGGGGCAGUACGCCAGCUAUGGAGGAAGCAUUACCCAAAGUUCAGCAUCGAGCACUUCCAGAUUAUUGACAUUGACGUACCGAAGCAGCUCGGCAAUAAUGAGUGUGGGUUGUUCGCAUUGCUUAACGCCACCGAGUGGAAUGGUAGCCAACUGCCCAACUACGACCCCAAGGAAGUACUCAACAUCAGGAAGAAGCUGGCAUAUGAUUUGGUCACCAGCGUGCACAACACCGCCCCAUGA
rnacentral:rRNA from 1 species